AGAUUGCACUACUGGAUCAAUCCGUCUUGUUGGUGGUUCACACGAUUGGGAAGGAAGAGUGGAAGUGUGUGAUAGUGGAUCAUGGGGCACUGUCUGUGAUGAUCUCUGGGGCUCCCCUGAUGCAGCAGUAGUGUGUAGACAACUAGGCUGGGGAACAAGUGGAACCGCUCGAUCAUUUGCCUACUUUGGUCAGGGUACUGGUAGUAUCCUCCUGGAUGAUGUUCAGUGCACAGGAACAGAAGAAUUUUUGACAAACUGCACACACUCGAGCACUCACAACUGUGGACACUCUGAGGACGCCGGAGUAACUUGUGACGUUUGUACUUCUGGUACUCUGCGUCUUGUUGGUGGAUCAAAUUCAAACGAGGGAAGAGUGGAACUGUGUCAAAAUGGAAGGUGGGGUACAGUGUGUGAUGACUCGUGGGACAACACUGAUGCUGGAGUUGCAUGUAGACAGCUUGGUCUAGGAACAAUUGGGACAGCUCGCAGCAGUGCAUACUUU